UACGUAGGUGACCAGCGUUGUCCGGAUUUACUGGGCGUAAAGAGCGCGCAGGCGGUCGUUCAAGUCGAGUGUGAAAGCCCCCGGCUCAACUGGGGAGGGUCACUCGAUACUGAUCGACCUGAAGGCAGGAGAGGGAAGCGGAAUUCCCUGUGUAGCGGUGAAAUGCGUAGAGAUGGGGGAGAACACUCGUGGCGAAGGCGGCCAGCUAGACCAGUUCUGACACUGAGGCGCGACAGCGUGGGGAGCAAACAGG
rnacentral:rRNA from 1 species